rnacentral:tRNA from 1 species
GGUUGUGGCUCAGUGGUAGAGCACUAGCCUAGUAUGUGGGAGGUGCUGGGUUCGAGCUUCAGCACCA